CAACUGUUCCUUUUCCUUAUUCACCAACUCAAUUACAGAAUUAAAUUCAUAGCAAUAAACCCUUUUCAAGAUGUGAAAUUAAUUAAGACGAGAAUAAGGGACACGAACACGUAAAUCAGAUACAUACCAUAGAGCAAAGAGAUCUCCUUUUAUUUAGUAGGCACCGCUUUGAAACUCCCUAAAAGAUUCCAAACGCCGUUAACCUUAGGCAGAGGAAACACCGAGAAUGUAAGCAACCAAAGGAAUUACAUAAUCAGAUUGAAAAUAGCUCGAAGGGAAGACCAAAAGAGAACUCAACAAGGCCAAUAUCCAUUAGCAUAACCAAACCGUUCACAGGAAGCUUCAAAUCUCUCAAAACCAAAAAGCCUUGAGCUAUACGUAACUUAGGAACAUCAAGAGCCACAGAACAAAACGGAACACGAUACUCUUCACCACCCUUGUUUCUUCCUAAUCGUAGAUUCACAUAACUGAAGCUGAAGAAGCGAAAGAGACAGCUCGGCGAAAGAAACAGAGCAUUGUGGUCACUCGAAAAGCUUCCUAUUGAUGUGGGACUCUGAGAAUGUAAGCAUCAUUCACACUUCACAGUUCAUGGAAAAAAAAAGGAACUGGCCUCAGACUGUGUAUUGGUUUAUUUCACGAGUGGAUCAAAGAUCCUUUGAUGUCGUUUUAUGGGAUACAGCUUCAUCACCGGCCAGUUUUGAUCUUCCCUCAUCUGUUAUAAACCAGUCCAUAAAAAUUCGAGGGGACGACGUGGGAUAAAUCUGAGUGGUCGACGUGGGCCUGGGCUUUAUUUAAAUAAAUCUCUCUAUCUCUAUCCAGAUACAAUCACCGAGCUCGGCCCACUUGUCUGUAUGCGAGUCCACAACAUUGUCGGUUGAAGCCUUUCAUCGAAGUCGCUCAGAUCUGUUCUCUGGCGGUGCGGUGGUCGCCGGUCAAGGUGGAGCGGUCGUCCUGGAUCGCUCACUUUGCUCACUUUGUCGGCUCUGUGCUGUAGAGGACGGCGGCGAGAUCUACGGUGUCCAUAAACUUUGUCGUUGACUUUGCUCCUUCACGAUUUAAUCACGAGCCUUUGCUUUCUCUUUCGCAUAUUUAAUCAAAGCUAGAGGUCACAACUCUCACCGAUCACCAGUCACCGUCACGGCCGCCGUCUUCAACCACCACAUCCUAACCGGUGAAUUUUCUGGUGUAACUCUCAGCCCUCAUCUCUGGCGAGCAUCUCUUUAUUCACCAUCAAUUCAUCUGAGACUUCAUUCAAGUCUCCCUCUUCGACAACGAGAGAUAUUGCAAUGUCACAGUAUAUGAUUUUUGAAUUAGAGAAGAAAGGAGAAAACAAGAAAGGAGAUGUCUGAUUCAAGAAAACGUUUGGUGGAUGAAACGUAAUCCGAUCAAGCUGAAACUUGGUGGUAAGCUUCGUGAAAAUGCUGUCUUGAGUAUCAACGGUGGGAUUGAGAUUUUGACGGUUGGUUUGUGUUUUAUUCGAGCUUCUUCCGGGCACAGUUCAUCUGAAAGUUUCAGAUUUGACCAGUUCUUAUGGAAAUGUCAACCGGAUGACCAAAUAAACUCGGAAUGAGAUGAAAUUUUGCAGAGAUACUCUAGACAUGUGAAACUAGAUUCUGGUAGAAGGACACUGGAUUUGGAGUCCGGGAACAUAGUUUACUGAUGACAUUUCAGAACAGUUGAUUCAAAGUCUUAUGGAACAAUGAGUUUCUAAUGACAUGAAAAAGGUGAAGAGCAUAGAUGUUGAAACAUGUUAUGGAAGCAUCCUAGAAACUAUGAAGAAUGCUGAAAAGCGUUUUUAGAAGAGACUUUGAAACACAGAGAUUGCAACUGAGACUAAGAGAGGAGUUGAGACAGAAAAAGUUCUUAGUUCAUGAGAAAGAUGAAAUUAUGUAAGAGAAGAGGUUCUUCUGAAUGAUUAUCAUCAGUAAGGUUUAUGAAGAAUGCUGAAAAUCGUUUUUAGAUGAGACUUUGACACAGAAAGAUUGCAACUAAGGCUAAGAGAGAAGUUGAGACAAAAAAUAAAAAGUUCUUAGUUCAUGAGAAAGAUGAGAUUAUGUGGGAGAAGAGGUUAUUCUCAAUGAUUGUUAUUAGUAAGGUUUAUGAUGAUAUUCUGUCAUCAAACUUUCUGUUAAAUCAAGGUAUAAAGUCAUGGAAA